CCAAGCUGUCUUUGAAAUGAGAGAAACAGCCUCCUGAGUGGCUAGGAUUAUAGGUGUGAGCCACCAACAUCUGGCUACAAAACUGUUUUUUAAAGUUGUAGGAAAAUAGAGUUCAUAGAUCUUUGUUCCAACAUGUUACCAUAUCCCGUGUCGAUUCCAAUGUGGACGGUACUGAACUCUGAUCAUACCAGUUUCCAUCAGGAUUUAUUGGGUCUGAGAGACCUCCUGCAGAUAAGCUGGUUGACAAUCCCACAGCAGUUUUGUGGUUUUUGUUUUUUGUUUUUUGUUUUUUUUGAUUUUUUUUUUUU